GAUGAACGCUAGCGGCAGGCCUCAUACAUGCAAGUCGAGGGGCAGCGAGGGACUUCGGUUCUGUCGGCGACCGGCGAACGGGUGCGUAACGCGUAUGUAACCUACCCCUUACACUGGAAUAGGCACUGGAAACGGUGAUUAAUGCUGGAUGGUAUAUUAGAUUGGCAUCGAUUUGAUAUUAAAGAUUUAUCGGUAAGGGAUGGACAUGCGUUCCAUUAGCUAGUUGGUUAGGUAGUGGCUAACCAAGGCGACGAUGGGUAGGGGUUCUGAGAGGAAGGUCCCCCACACUGGCACUGAGAUACGGGCCAGACUCCUACGGGAGGCAGCAGUAGGGAAUAUUGGUCAAUGGGCGCAAGCCUGAACCAGCCAUGCCGCGUGCAGGAAGAAUGCCAUUAAGGUAGUAAACUGCUUUUAUAAAGGAGCAAGGCUGAUUUGUAAUUAGAUUGAGAUUACUUUAUGAAUAAGCACCGGCUAAUUCCGUGCCAGCCGCCGCCGUAACAC
rnacentral:rRNA from 1 species